rnacentral:rRNA from 1 species
AUGAACGCUGGCGGCGUGCUUAACACAUGCAAGUCGAACGAACCUUCGGGUUAGUGGCGCAAGGGUGAGUAUCACGUGAAUAAUCUGCCCUCGAGAUCGGGAUAACAUGGUGAAAACUAUGCUAAUACCGGAUAAGACCACAUUUCAUAAGAAAUGCGGUAAAAGGAGUCUCAAUCUUCACUCGAGGAUGAGUUCGCGCAACAUUAGCUUGUUGGUGAGAUAAAAGCUCACCAAGGCUACGAUGUUUAGCCGGCCUGAGAGGGUGAACGGCCACACUGGAACUGAGACACGGUCCAGACUCCUACGGGAGGCAGCAGUGGGGAAUAUUGCGCAAUGGGCGAAAGCCUGACGCAGCAACGCCGUGUGAGCGAUG